rnacentral:rRNA from 1 species
UUUGUGACAUACCUAUAACUGUUGCUUCGGCGGGUAGGGUCCCCGUGACCCUCCCGGCCUCCCGCCCCCCGGGCGGGUCGGCGCCCGCCGGAGGAUAACCAAACUCUGAUUUAACGACGUUUCUUCUGAGUGGUACAAGCAAAUAAUCAAAACUUUUAACAACGGAUCUCUUGGUUCUGGCAUCGAUGAAGAACGCAGCGAAAUGCGAUAAGUAAUGUGAAUUGCAGAAUUCAGUGAAUCAUCGAAUCUUUGAACGCACAUUGCGCCCGCCAGCAUUCUGGCGGGCAUGCCUGUUCGAGCGUCAUUUCAACCCUCAAGCUCUGCUUGGUGUUGGGGCCCUACAGCUGAUGUAGGCCCUCAAAGGUAGUGGCGGACCCUCCCGGAGCCUCCUUUGCGUAGUAACUUUACGUCUCGCACUGGGAUCCGGAGGGACUCUUGCCGUAAAACCCCCAAUUUUCCAAAGGUUGACCUCGGAUCAAGUAGGAAUACCCGCUGAACUUAAGCAUAU